GCUCUAUUGGCUAAACUGUCUAGGUUUAAACUUAUUGGGGGAUGAUUGGUCUAAACUGUUGGUUUUCGACCGCUACGACCCGGGUUCGAUUCCCGCAUUGGGCA